GAUGAACGCUGGCGGCGUGCCUAAUACAUGCAAGUCGAGCGAACAGACGAGGAGCUUGCUCCUCUGACGUUAGCGGCGGACGGGUGAGUAACACGUGGAUAACCUACCUAUAAGACUGGGAUAACUUCGGGAAACCGGAGCUAAUACCGUAUAAUAUAUUGAACCGCAUGGUUCAAUAGUGAAAGACGGUUUUGCUGUCACUUAUAGAUGGAUCCGCGCCGCAUUAGCUAGUUGGUAAGGUAACGGCUUACCAAGGCAACGAUGCGUAGCCGACCUGAGAGGGUGAUCGGCCACACUGGAACUGAGACACGGUCCAGACUCCUACGGGAGGCAGCAGUAGGGAAUCUUCCGCAAUGGGCGAAAGCCUGACGGAGCAACGCCGCGUGAGUGAUGAAGGUCUUCGGAUCGUAAAACUCUGUUAUUAGGGAAGAACAAAUGUGUAAGUAACUAUGCACGUAUUGACGGUACCUAAUCAGAAAGCCACGGCUAACUACGUG
rnacentral:rRNA from 1 species